ensembl:snRNA U6 U6 spliceosomal RNA
GACUUGCUUUGGCAACCCAUAUUCUAAAAUUAGAAUGAUACAGAGGAAAUUAGCAUGGCCCUUGUGCACAAGUGACAUGCAAAUUUGUGAAAUGUUUCAUGUUGUU